rnacentral:rRNA from 1 species
GGUUAAAAAGCUCGUAGUUGGAUCUCGGCGGACUGAGGGCGGUUUGCUUGCUAGUAUUACUGCCCUAUAGUCCGUAGUUUUGCCAGAGGUUUCGGGGUGCUCUUAAUCGAGUGUCCCGGGAUGCUGGCAGGUUUACUUUGAAAAAAUUAGAGUGCUCAAAGCAGGCUAUUACGCCUGAAUAUUCGUGCAUGGAAUAAUAGAAUAGGAAGUCGUUUCUAUUUUGUUGGUUUUCGGAAAUCGACCUAAUGAUUAAUAGGGACAGUCGGGGGCAUUUGUAUUCAAACGACAGAGGUGAAAUUCUUGGACCGUUUGAAGACAAACUACUGCGAAAGCAUUUGCCAAGAAUGUUUUCAUUAAUCAAGAACGAAAGUUAAAGGUUCGAAGGCGAUUAGAUACCGCCCUAGUUUUAACCAUAAACGAUGCCAGCUAGCGAUCUGCGGACGUUUUUUUUGUACCACUCCGCAGGAAGCUUCCGGGAAACCAAAGCAUUUGGGUUCCAGGGGAAGUAUGGUUGCAAAGCUGAAACUUAAAGGAAUUGACGGAAGGGCACCACCAGGAGUGGAGCCUGUGGCUUAAUUUGACUCAACACGGGAAAUCUCACCAGGCCCGGACACUGAAAGGAUUGACAGAUUGAUAGCUCU